UGGGGAAUCUUGCGCAAUGGGCGAAAGCCUGACGCAGCGACGCCGCGUGUGGGAUGACGGCCUUCGGGUUGUAAACCACUGUCGGGAGGGACGAAGCUCUGACGGUACCUCCAAAGGAAGCACCGGCUAACUCUGUGCCAGCAGCCGCGGUAAUACAGAGGGUGCGAGCGUUGUCCGGAAUCACUGGGCGUAAAGGGCGCGUAGGCGGCCUGAUAAGUAGGGGGUGAAAUCCUGCGGCUUAACUGCAGGGCUGCCUCCUAGACUGUUAGGCUCGAGCACGGUAGAGGCAGAUGGAAUUCCCGGUGUAGCGGUGGGAUGCGUAGAGAUCGGGAAGAACAUCGGUGGCGAAGGCGGUCUGCUGGGCCGUUGCUGACGCUGAGGCGCGACAGCGUGGGGAGCAAACAG
rnacentral:rRNA from 1 species